GUGGCGGGUUAUCGAACAGGAUAGAUACCGUGGUAGUCGCACGGUAAACGAUGGAUGCCCCGCUGCUCGGCCGAUACAAUGUCAGCGGCCAAGCGAAAGCGUAAAGCAUCCCACCUGGGGAGUACGCCGGCAACGGUGAAACUCAAAGGAAGUGGACGGGGGCCCGCACAAGCGGAGGCAACAUGUGGUUUAAUUCGAUGAUACGCGAGGAACAUUACCCCGGGCUUGAACUGCAGGAGAACGAUUCAGAGAUGAUGAGGUCCUUCGGGUCUCCUGUGGAGGUGCUGCAUGGUUGUCGUCAGCUCGUGCCGUGAGGUGUCGGCUUAAGUGCCAUAACGAGCGCAACCCCUGCGACUAGUUGCCAUCAGGUUAUGCUGGGCACUCUGGUUGGACUGCCAACCGUAAGGUGUGAGGAAGGUGGGGAUGACGUCAAAUCAGCACGGCCCUUACGUCCGGGGCUACACACGUGUUACAAUGGGUGGUACAGAGAGCCAAUCCCCAGCAAUGUGGAUUCAAUCCUUAAAGCCAUCCUCAGUUCGGACUGGGGUCUGCAACCCGACCCCACGAAGCUGGAUUCGCUAGUAAUCGCGCAUCAGCCAUGGCGCGGUGAAUACGUUCCCGGGCCUUGUACACACCGCCCUAAUCUGA
rnacentral:rRNA from 1 species